rnacentral:rRNA from 1 species
CAGUCGCGUUCUCUGGGAUUCAGCCUUGCUUCUGCUUGGUGCAUUUCCUAGUCUACGGGCCAGCAUGAGUUUUGACCGUUGGAAAAAGGCAGGGGGAAUGUGGCACCUCCGGGUGUGUUAUAGCCCCUUGUCACACACGGCGGUUGGGAUUGAGGAUUCAGUGCACGCUUCUGUUGUGCUUUGAUGCUGGCGUAAUGGCUUUAAACGACCCGUCUUGAAACACGGACCAAGGAUCUAGCAUAUAUGCGAGUGUU